rnacentral:piRNA from 1 species
UCCUAGGAGUAAUGGUUUAAUAGAAA